GCGCGAAAAUUAGAAAAUUUUCAGUAGUAGGAAUGAUUUCCAAGGUCUAUUUCUUCCUCGAGACAACCAUAAAUGCGCUGAAUUCAAAGCCAUGAGCCAUCAGUGACUCAAUCGGCCAAAGACAGUUCUUGACUUAAACAUAACCUACAAUUUACAACAAAAAAUCAAAAAUGUCAAAAUUGAUUUUGUUAUUAUCAAUUUUUUUAUUUCUCGCCGCAUGUGACUGUGCAAAGGACAAGUGUAAAGGAAUUUGGUGUCAUCCUGAAGAAUACCUUUGGUGUAGAUGUGACGGUUAUACAUGCAGCAAUGGAAUGGCAAAAGGGUUUUGCGUACCUAUUGAUCAAGUAGAAGAACAAGGUAGUUCACAAGAAUAAUGCAGGGAGGGAUAUAUUCGGAUAACAUUACCAGAAAAUAUAAAUUGAAAUACAUACGUUAAUAAAAUUUCAAGUCUUAUAUU